rnacentral:tRNA from 3 species
GGGCAGGUGGCCGAGUGGUUAAAGGCGGCAGACUGUAAAUCUGUUCCGGAAGGUACGGUGGUUCGAAUCCAUCCCUGCCCACCA